rnacentral:rRNA from 1 species
GAAGGUGGCAAGCGUUAUUCGAAAUCACUGGGCUUAAAGGGCGCGUAGGCGGAUAUGUAAGUGUCUUGUGAAAUCCCUCGGGCUUAACCGAGGAAUUGCUUGGCAAACUAUAUAUCUUGAGGCAAGUAGGGGUGUGUGGAACUCUUGGUGGAGCGGUGGAAUGCGUAGAUAUCAAGAGGAACGCCGAAGGUGAAGACAGCACACUGGACUUGUACUGACGCUGAGGCGCGAAAGCGUGGGGAGCAAACAGGAUUAGAUACCCUGGUAGUCCACGCCGUAAACGAUGUAUACUAGGUUGCGGAGGUUCUGACACCGUCGCAGUCGUAGCAAAAGUGUUAAGUAUACCGCCUGGGGAGUACGGUCGCAAGGCUA